UUUAAAUUUUGUAAAAUGCAGUUUGCAGAAAACAGUCCAACAGUAACUACACUAAUGAUAGGAGAAGCAGCAUUAUGAAACUAAUUUUACAAUUGAGGAGACGACAAUUUUUUUUCUAAAUUUCAUUAAAAAAAUAUACAUCACAGUGACUUCUGAGCUAGGAAAAGAAGUACAGUAACUUCAUUAUGUUUUCCCUUCCACAAAAAGCAGCCGCAACUUUGAAUAUGUCCACACACAGAAAUACCCAAUUCAUUUAUCAGUCUUUGAAAAUACUAUGAACACACAAAGGAGGAAGAAAAUAUACAGCAUGUGCUUUUGGUUAACAUAUAAUUUGCUGGGGUGCGGGGAGCAGAAACACAAAUGAACCCCACCAUACCCUUCCACACCUAAAACCAAAAAACCCUUCACCAACUCCCUUCUCCAACCUUGCUGAUGGAAUUCUUUUCAUGUGAUUUGUAGUUUUCUUUUCCUUUAAUAUUUACUUCUUUGUCACACAACAAGCCAGAGUUUGCCUCUGCCUGAAUCCCUUAAAGGCAGCUGGGAAGCCCACUGCACCAGGUGUGUCAUCCAACACUGCACUCCUUAGGGAUUUUAUUUUUCUCCCCAAACAAGUAUUUGAAUAAAACACAAGUUUUUACAAUAAAAGUUUAUCAACCUACAAUCCAUGGAGAAUUUAUUCAAUUGUAAAUGUAUGAAUCCUAAGAGAAUAAUUAUAGUAAAAUAACCAAAACAAGACAAAAAUAUCCAUUUUUCUUUAUACCAAUUAGCCAUAUGGUAUAUAUUUAAAAUACCUUCUAGUGAAGGCAAGGCCAAAAAGUUUCUACAGAAAUUUACAAAAAAGCUCAGUGUGACGAAAUUACCACCUAAAGUACAACAAACUACUAAAAAACAUACUAACUUGCUCCAAAAACUAAAUAUAACUUAGAAUUGCCAGUUAUUACAAUUAUCCAAAAUACUAGAAACCCAAUUUGUGCCUGUCCAUAACAUAAUGAAAUCUUGUUUGAGUUUCAUACCUUCCAUUGGGCACAAGAAUCAAAGGCCAUUCAGCAAACCCACCAUGGAUCAGUAUCAGUGCAAAGACAGAUUCAUUAGAUAAAUUCUUUGCAACUUCAGAAGGCUUCAAUUAGUUAACUUAAAAGAUAUUACAUAACCUAUGAACUCACCAACUAUAGAGUAAUUAAAAACUUUUAAACUCAACUGUUGAUUCUCAUCUGUUCAUUAAUCUCUCUCCAGUACCAGUUUCUGGGGCAGAUACCUUACACAGAAAAAAAAAAAAAUUCACAUGAUAAUCAUAAAAAUUCUAUGUACUAAAUUUUUUGCAGCUAUCACCAAUCAAGUAAUAAAAAAUGAAAAUAACUGUUAAAGACUAUUAAGUUAAAGACAGGUAUGAACUGUAAACUCAGAUGUAACUGUAAAAUCAAUAUGAUGGGAAAAAUUAAACAACUGAUUUCUAGGCAAACAAUGUCCAAAGUAAACAUUAAAGAAGGCACAACUGGGAUGGGGAUUUAGCUCAGUGGUUCCGGUGCCUGCCUUGCAAGUGCAAGGACCCGAGUUUGAUCCCCGGUACCAAAAACAAAAACAAAAACAAAACAAAACAAAAAAAGAUGGCACAACUACUAAAAAUGUAAUAAAAGGAAAGGACCUCUUGAGGCUUUGCUAUUCAGAUGUGAGUGUAGAUCUUAGGGUAUAAAUUAAUUCUGCCUAAUCAUCGUUUUCCAAGUUUUUUAUACUCUGAAAAUGUCCUUUUUCAUCUCAACUCCUUCACAUCUGUUUUAUGGAAACAGCUAGUAAAGCUUUUUUAAAAAAGACCCCUAUAUAUAAUGCUUAGAAUAGAGUUGUCUUUUGGUAACACUGCAUAUGAAAUUACCUUUCCUCCCUAUGGAUACUUUUUGAAACUCAAGAUUUGGAAAGUACUUGUCGAUAUUCUUAAUAGAUAAAACUCACGGACUUUAAAAAAUGUGUUAUCAGAAAUUCUUUCUUAAAUAGUACCUGUCUUAAAGUUCAAAUAAUUUGUCAGUUUUAAAAAUGCAACUUACUGAAUUUUUAAAACAAUAAUUUAAAAUAUAUAACAGAUCAUAGAGCUUGGGUACUCAGACUCAAUAUAUAUAUACAUAUAUAUAUAUUUUUUUUUCUGAUACUGGGGAUUGAACUCAGGACCUUGCACUUGUGAGGCAGGCACGGUGCCACUGAGCUAAAUUCCCGGCCCUCAAUAAUUCUUAAUGUGGGUCUGUGGUCAGUUCCUAAGGAAUCACUCUGAAUUAUAAUAAACAUCUACUACUUUUACAGGAAAUAAAAUUAGGAAAAAAAUCCAUUCUGGAUAUUUGUUUCAAGAUAUUUUAAACAAACUUAGAAUCAUUACACUAUUCUGCAACAGCUACAAUGCCAAAUGAUUACUAUAUUAAUCAAUAAUGGGAAGUAUUAUGCUAAGCAUCACUAUUCAGUACAAAUAGCACUGGGUAGCUAAUGGAGUUAUCAAGAAUCUACCUUGGUAAUAAAGUUAACACUAUACUGACAAAUAUUAAAGUACAAAACUCUCUAGAGUCCACUAUUGAUUGGAAUUUUGAAAUUUCUUUUAAAAUGAGGCAGGUUUUGUGUUUGCUGGAUGUUCAAUGUUUUCUUCAGAAGAGAUAUUACAGAAUAAAAGGCCACACAUCACAAAAAUGGCAAAAUACAACACACAAAAUUCUGAAUGGACUUUGGAUGUGUUUAGUGUUUAACUCUGUAAGCUACCAAAUUUUGCAACUUUCUGUUUUACUCUACAUGGCAGUGUUUUACAUGCCAAGUUAAAAUAAUAUUAACAGUGAUGGUACAAAGCCAUAAAGCCACCUGAGUAGAAAGAAACCAGAGUCAUAAACAUGCUAUAGCCUCAUACAUUUAUAGAAAAGAUGCUCUUUUUUUUUGCCAUUUGAAACUCACAGCUAUGAGA
ensembl:lncRNA